UCUUACCCGAAAAAUCAAGAUUUCAUUCUUUCUUUUUUGGUUCGAUGAAUGCAGUUGAAACUGCUUAGAAACCCAUAUCCAUGAUGAUACCACCUACAUCUAGAGGUGAAGGGGAUGGUCAUCUUUCAAAGUGUUGCUUUUCAUGCAUGUUUUCAAUAAUUGUCAUGAUUGUAUAUGCCUUUUAUUUCCUAUUUUUAGUAAUUGUGUCUUUCCCUCAACGACAAUUUUCAUUUCAUCUCUAAAAUAUCAGAAAUAUUAUUCAACACUUAACCCUUAAAUUAUUUUAUUAAUAUUCACAAGAAAAACUGAAACUUGUAUAUUAAAAUACAUAAAACAAAAAUAAAUUAUAUAUGUGGCAAACAAAAAUUUAUUAUAUGUGUGGCAAAUUAUAUAAUUUCUAAAACAUUUUAUAUUAUGAAACACAUGGUUUAAUAUAACAAACAUAAUCCAUCUUUCUUUGGGUUGCUAAAAAUGAUAUUUCCUCUUAUACCCUAUUACUCUCUAACUUGGACAUAUGUUUGAGAUAACAGAAACCCUCUUCUAAUAACCCAAAACUUUUAUUUACCAAAAUGAACUAUGAGGCCACCAUAUUAGUAUGAUAUAAUUGUGAAAUUAUGC
rnacentral:lncRNA from 1 species